AUUUCUAGAAGCAGCUGAGCAACACUGGUAGUGGUUAAGAUGACAGGCCCAGGAGUUUGACAGAAGCAGCUUUAAAUCCUGUGUUUUUGCCAACUUAUUCAACCCCUGUGAGCCUGAGAUGGGGGCAUCAAAUCAUACGAGCAUCCCAGUGCUCUUGUUGAAGGAGCUUCUCGGGGGACAGAGGUGAAAUGGAAUCGAUGUGGGAGACAAGGAGCCUUCCAGUAGUGGUUCAACACAGUUCUUCAAAACACGACACUCUUGAUAAGUUUAUCCUGUGAUAGAAGGAGAUGAAAACUCAGAAAUGACUGCUAGCCUGGACAAGUCCCAGUCUGUGAUUCGAGUGCCACAGCAUUCUAGUAAAAUUAUCUGGAGAGAAAAACCCUUGAUGUGCAGGUGAGGAGCAGCUGAUGUCUGAAGUCUGAUAUGGCAAGAAAGUUCCAGAUUCUGGAAGAAGAAACUAAACCCGUCAAAACAUAAGUGAGAGACACUACAACCAGCUUAAAACAAUAUGGGCAAUUGAAAAAAGACUGAGAAUGUUCACAUACAUUGCUGGGGCCUGUGAGGAGAGUUAGGUCCCGUGUCUGCUGCAGUGCUGGUUGCAAAGAGCAGAGAGGCCGCAGCUCCCCUGGGAGAAGAAGGCAGGGGACAUGAUGUAGGGUCAGGGUGUGGAGACAAAGUUGAUGGCGAGGAGAAGGGAUCAGGAGGAAGCUGCACAGUCCAAUGGGCACUGAACAUUCAGCACUGGGAGAAAAUAUCAGUUCUACCCCAAGAUUGCUAAGAAGAGGGGAAAAGCCCACUGGAUAGGUCAUCAUAGAGGCGUCCACACUGAGAGUGUCACCUGAAAGGGCAGGUCAGAAUCUUAGGCGAGAGCAGAAGAAAGGACCAUACUUGGUUGAAAGACAGAAAUGGAGCAUCCUGUAUAUGAGCUGACCUGCAGAGCACAGGUGGCAUGGUGUGUCAAAGCAGAUGACCUGGUGGCACACGAAGAGGAAGGGCUGGCGACCUACAGAAAGCAAUUCAAAGAUCCUGGGGGAAAACUGGAAAGAAUAAUUUCUUCUUUUCAGAGACAGAUCCUGUCCCAGGAGGGAAGAGCUCAUGACCACUGGUGGAAGCUUGGAGGAUGAACAAAACCUCAUUAUUUCCAGAUGGGAGAUCACAGACCUGAAACAAAGAGAAACAAAAGACAAUUUAUCUCAAGCCUCUUGUUUGUAAUUUUAAUUUUUAAUUUUUGUGGGUACAUAGUAGGUGUGUGUAUUUAUGGGGUACAUAUGGUAUUUUGAUACAGGCAUACGAUAUGUAAUAAUCACAUCAUGGAAAAUUGGGUAUUAAUCCCCUCAAGCGUUUAUCCUUUGAAGCUGCUGCUUCUUCUCCUCCUCCUUCUUCCUCUUCUCCUCCUCCUUCUCCUCCUCGUCUUCCUCCUUCUCCUUUCUUCUUCGCUCCUCCUCCUGCUCUCCUCCUCCUCCUCCUUCUUCUCCUUCUCCUCCUCUUCUUUUUAAGGGCAGGGUCUUGCUCUGUCACCCAGGCUGGAGUACAGUGGUAUGAUCAUGGCUCACUGCAGCCUCAACCUCCUGGGCUCAAGCAAUUGUCCUGCCUCAGCCUCCCAGGUAGCUGGGACUACAGCUCCUCAAGCUUCUUGAAGUGGAUCUUAAUGCAUUUGACAAUCCUGGUGGGGCAUUAGGCAGGGAGUAAAUACGUCCUGACCUCUGAGACCGAAGUGUCCCUCGUGCCUCUCCUCAGACCCUCCCUUUCGCUGCCAGGCUGUGUUCCCCUCCCCUCUCCUUUUCCUUCUCCCUCCUCCUCUGCCAUUCUCCAAUCCAGUGUUUCAUGUGCAUCCAAAUGGAGAGGAGUAGUGUUGUUACGAGCACUCCCUCUUCCUCCACCUCCUCCGGGACUCUGUGCACCCCGCAUCCCAGCUGGCUCCCCACCAAGGUGUCUUAGGCCUCCUUUUUCUCCAUCACAGUCUGGGUUUUUCUUACACACCUUUAUCCAGAAAAUGGAAGUGACUUACCUUUUGGUUUCCCUCAGCCUCCAUCUGACCCUAGCAGUAAAAAUCCUGAAACACUGCAAAGACAUCAAGUCAUUAGGUUUUGUCUUUUUUCCUUGAAAUAUUGUUGACUUCUAUAUACCUAAUUUUAGGAUAGAUAGCUGUUUUUUAUGCAAGUGAUUUUAUUUUCUCUCAUUUUGCUUCUUGAUACUAAUAUAAAUUUCAGGUUAGAUUUAGAAAAUAAAGAUCACUUGAAUACUCCUGUUACAUUAUACCCUCUAGAAAAUGUAAGUAGCAGAGUUUUAUUUGAUAAGUCAGUCUACAUGAUCAUAUAAUAUCAUCUGUGAGCAGUUUAUCCCAUGGAGGCAUUUAAAGUAGAAAAACACUUUUCCAUCUGUUAAUGUUUGUAUCUGCCACUGUUACAAGAAAAGGGUGAAAAUGACUUGAUGGUCCCAGUAAAUUACAGUCGAAUUAAAGCAUGGUCAAAGUGUGGUGGUCAAACGCAGAAGGCAGUCUGUGGAGUGUGGAGUUCUGCAGGCUGGGGCCCCUCUGUCUGCUGUGCUCUCGCUGUGCAGGGCUCUGGAAGGGUAAGCCCAGCUACAGCUGCUCAGUGAGGAGGGAGACAGGCUCAGGCUGUGGCUCUUUAACUCCCCAGGAGACCUGGGCCACUGGGACCCCAGAAUCUUCAUUUGGAGCAACAGUUCUUCACAAAGCUGUCUGUAGGUUUCACAGACUGAUGCCCUUGGUAGCAUCUUGUACCAGGCCUCAGGAUGGGCCUGGGUCCUUGCUCCUGGAGAAUGGAGUAUGGAGGUGGCUCCUGCCAGCCUAAGAUAGAGUCAAGUAUGUCUCCAAGGUUGUUGUAGUUACUGAGCAGAGAGUCUUGAGUCUGGGACCCAUAUGCAUUAGUCUGCUGGGGCUGCCAUAACAAAGGCCUGCAGACUGGCUUAAACAACAGAUAUUUGUUUUCUCACAGUUCUGGAGGCUGGAGGUCCAACGUCUAGGUGUUGGUGUUGGCAGGGUUGGUUUCUCCUGAGGCCUCUUUCCUUGGCUUGUCUUCUCCCCUUGUCCUUACACGGCCUUCUCUCUGUGCAAGCAUCCCUGGGGUCUCUUUUUCUCCUUAUAAGGACCCCAGUCAUACUGGAUUAGUGAUCCAGCCCUAUGACCUAAUUCACCCUUACUUGUGUCUUGAAGGCCCUGUCUCCAAAUGCAGCCACAGGGGGGUUUAGGGCUUCAGCAUCUCUGGGGACACAGUUCAGUCUGCAGCAACAUUCCUGUCCCACCCGACAGAACAACAGACUGGCUGUGAUUGGAGCCUGGUCCUGAGACUCCACCGAGCUGUCCCAGUGUUCAGGGCAGUGUGCUCCGUGCCUUUGGGGUCGGUCUGAUCAUGGUGUGUAUGGGCUCUGGAAAUGGGAGGACUGUGGCUCCUGCAGCCAUCAGUCAGAGAAUGCAUGGCCGUUCAGUGCAGGCCGGCCUUAGUCACAGUCCCCACGGCUGCUCUGGUUGCUCCUCCUGCCCUGGUGACUUCCUUUUCUCAACUCCCUUAGGCACACAAAGACCCAUGCAUGCUUCCUCCCUCCUUCACCAAUAUCCCCAGGGAAGAUUAAAACAUAGGUCCACAUGAAUAUCUAAGUGGGUGAGGCAAAGAAAUUCUCAUUGUGCUCCUAAUUUCAGCUUGGUCCAAGUUACAGCUGCUGUGAAUCUCAUCUAAUACAUACCUAUAGUCAUAUAUUUUAUAUAUAUUUAUACAUGCUCACAUGUGUUGUGCAUGUGUGUGUGUACGUGUGUGUAUACAAACUUCCUCUUUAAAAUAUUGCUGGAUCAUUUUUAACUUCCUCUUACUUUAAAAUAUUCCUGGAUAUAUCGUUGCUUAAAGUACAUAAACUUGCAUGAAAUGAUUCAAUGUUUCCAAGAUUCUCAAAAGGUUAAAAAAGGAAAUAAACAUCUCCCAUCUUUCCAAAAUCUAUCAUUAUAACUAGGUAAUGUCUAGAUGUGGCUUAGUUCCCGUAGCAACUUCCGGGAACCAGCAAAGUGAUCGCCUCCGAGGUGAUGCAGCGGCCUAUGGAGUCUAAGAGUUUAUAGCUUGAAAACUGCUCUUGAAACAAAAGUCGUAUUCAUAUUUGAGAUGUUAAAAGGUGAAGAUUUUUGCACAUUUUCUGUCUUUGUUAUGAUAAAAUACCACUUUUGAGUUUGCUGAUCUC